AACGAACGCUGGCGGCAUGCCUAACACAUGCAAGUCGAACGAGACCUUCGGGUCUAGUGGCGCACGGGUGCUUAACGCGUGGGAACCUGCCCUUAGGUUCGGAAUAACUCCCCGAAAGGGGUGCUAAUACCGGAUAAUGUCUUCGGACCAAAGAGUUAUCGCCUUUGGAUGGGCCCGCGUUGGAUUAGCUAGUUGGUAGGGUAAAAGCCUACCAAGGCGACGAUCCAUAGCUGGUCUGAGAGGAUGAUCAGCCACACUGGGACUGAGACACGGCCCAGACUCCUACGGGAGGCAGCAGUGGGGAAUAUUGGACAAUGGGCGAAAGCCUGAUCCAGCAAUGCCGCGUGAGUGAUGAAGGCCUUAGGGUUGUAAAGCUCUUUUACCCGGGAUGAUAAUGACAGUACCGGGAGAAUAAGCUCCGGCUAACUCCGUG
rnacentral:rRNA from 1 species